ensembl:snRNA U6 U6 spliceosomal RNA
GUGAUCACUUCAGCAGCACAUAUACUAAAAUUUGAAUGAUACAGAGAUUAGCAUGGCCCAUGUGUAAGGAUAACAUGCAAAUUUGUAACGGACCUGCACAGGUAUUU